rnacentral:rRNA from 1 species
AUUGAACGCUGGCGGCAGGCCUAACACAUGCAAGUCGAACGAGUGGCGGACGGGUGAGUAAUAUCUGGGAAACUGCCCGAUGGAGGGGGAUAACUACUGGAAACGGUAGCUAAUACCGCAUACCAUCGGAUGUGCCCAGAUGGGAUUAGCUAGUUGGGGGGGUAACGGAGCACCAAGGCGACGAUCCCUAGCUGGUCUGAGAGGAUGACCAGCCACACUGGAACGUAGACACGGUCCAGACUCCUACGGGAGGCAGAAGUGGGGAAUAUUGCACAAUGGGCGCAAGCCUGAUGCAGCCAUGCCGCGUGUAUGAAGAAGGCUUUCGGGUUGUAAAGUACUUUCAGCGAGGAGGCGUUACUCGCAGAAGAAGCACCGGCUAACUCCGUGCCAGCAGCCGCGGUAAUUC